rnacentral:rRNA from 1 species
CAGCAGCCACGGUAAUACGAAGGGUGCAAGCGUUACUCGGAAUUACUGGGCGUAAAGCGUGCGUAGGUGGUGGUUUAAGUCCGCUGUGAAAGCCCUGGGCUCAACCUGGGAAUUGCAGUGGAUACUGGGUCACUAGAGUGUGGUAGAGGAUAGUGGAAUUUCCAGUGUAGCAGUGAAAUGCGUAGAGAUCGGAAGGAACAUCUGUGGCGAAGGCGACUAUCUGGGCCAACACUGACACUGAGGCACGAAAGCGUGGGGAGCAAACAGGAUUAGAUACCCGCGUAGUCCCUGUCUCUUAUAC